CUUUAACCCUCUCCUGGAAAACCCUAGCUCGCCUCUCCUAUUCCUCCCUCUGGCCGCCGCCACUAUCUCCUCUUCUCCCCACCUCCCCUUUUUCUCUCUGGGAACGAAGGAGAAACCCCACAGUACACCUCCUCCUCGCCGCCGUCCCGUCGAUUCCGGCCGCCCCUCGACGAACCGAAGACACCGGGAGAACCGCCUCGUCGAGCUCUACGUCGUGGUGCAAGGAAUCGAGUCAAUAUCCCGUAAAUCGAGCGCGCGGUCGCCGUUUCUUCUCCGACCACCGGCGAGUUCAUCGUCGAUUCCGCCGGGCAUGGUGCCUCUCCGGCCUUCUCGUCGCCUCCAUCGUCUUCCCCAAGUCAGGGCGCACCUUCGACGCCCUGUACCUCGUCCCGGUUCGCCCGGGAGCUCCAGGUCCAUGCUCGACCAGGAUCUUCCGCCAUGGCUGCCAUCCGUGAGCUCUGCCUCUACUUCCUUCAUGUUGCUGCGUGCCCUCAGGUCGACACGAUCCGAACAGUACCAUACUGAUCUGGCGUUCACAGAUGCUUCACUUUAUUGCCUGAGAUCAUCUUAGCCAAGAUCAGCAACCAGCCUAUCUGGUUCGUACCCUUCUGUUUUGAUCGGGAGGUCCUGUGCUCAAAUUCUGUUGCACUCGAAUUACCCAGCCUUUUUGUUCCUCGGACCCGCAGAUGGGCUCGGCCCAGAUCCUCUCACGGAGCAGCCCGUCGCAUGCGCAGCAAGUGCCCAGACGCAGCCCAGUUUCUCACGAACGCAGAACCAGGCCAGAUUCGGCCCAUCGUCCUCUCUGCAUUUGCUUCUUCCCGGAUAGGAUCGCGAAGUGGUGAUGUGAGAUACGACAAGUUCUCCGGAUGUCCCUCGGCAAGCUUUAAC